AUCCAACUGACAAGUCCUGAAUAGGAUGAAACAUGUGUCCUGGAU
rfam:Schistosoma mansoni strain Puerto Rico chromosome 6, complete genome